rnacentral:rRNA from 1 species
GUCCUAGCCGUAACGAUGGGUACUAGGCGUUGGGAGGAUUAAACCUUUCAGUGCCGAAGCUAACGCAUUAAGUACCCCACCUGGGUAGUACGACCGCAAGGUUGAACUCAAAGGAAUUGACGGGGACCCGCACAAAUGGUGGAGCAUGUGGUUUAAUACGACGAUACGCGUGAAACCUCACCCAGGCUUGACAUGUACUGGACGAAUUAUAGAAAUAUAGUUCUUCCCUCACGGGACUGGUACACAGGUGUUGCAUGGCUGUCGU